GUCAGGUUUCCAUAGGAAACCAUGCUGUUGGAAGCUGAUUCUUCCAGAGGUCUAACACUAGCCUCUGUAAGUCAGGAAGGCAGCUUAGCAGGCCCACUGGGAAGUAGCAGAUGGAUAGGAAAAUGACAUGCUUUCCAAAAGUAUUUAAAUAUCAACUCUCUUUUGUUACAGCUGUGUAAGAGCCAUAUAAAAUCAAGUAACAUGUAGGAGAGAAAAGGGGUCAUGAAGGAGGAGUUUGAGCAAAAAGUAAUGCUAAAAAAGAAAAAAAAAUCCAUUGCAAAUGGUAAUGUAAAUAAGGUAAAACUUGAAAACUAUGAAGCAAUACUGCAGAUAGUCAUGUCUGAAGGAAUACCUAGAGGGUUCUUUUUGGUGGUGAUCUUCACUCCUGGAUCUGAAUUUUUCUGGACUGUCUCCCUUACCACUUCUGCAGGACACAAUUGCAACAGAAUUUUCCUUGAAUCAACGGAGGACUAUUACUUGAUGAGAUCAUUGUUUUCAGGAAGUGUUAUAGAAAUGCGAUUACCAGACACUGAGGUUUUUUAACGUAUAAAAUAGGAAAGAGAGAGGACAAGCUGUGGUGAAGAAAAUGCAAGCAUUGUACAACUCAACAGACCUCCUGUCCCAGAGAGAUUUAUUUACUGGAAAUUACGACAAUGAUUUAUGGGCAGCUGGAAUUUGCAUGCAUUGCUCCGAAUCUGUGGAAGAAUCUAUGUGGUUGUUCAUGGCCUUCAGAAACAUGGAUGCUGCAAAGCAGAGCUAUGGAGAAUAUGGAAAGCAGGCUCAAAAAGCAUCUGCAAAUCUGUGCCAAUAUUAUUGCCUCUGUCAUCAAGCAAUGGAAAGGUUUUUCUAGUUAAAUUCAAGUAAUUAAAUCUCCCUGCUCUCAUUAAAAAAAAUACAACUGUCUGCUGCUGGUCUGAAGAAUUGCACAGAGUGAACGUAAAUUUUAAUUUCAUGGUGCAAGUGUUAAAUUAUUGCCAUCUAAGCUGUCUGCCAGUGUUACAUGAAAUCCCACCACAUUUUAAUAAUUCUCCCUUUGUUUUGGAUGGAAAUACCACGUGUUGUGAUUUGGAAGUUUUUAUGUGCAAUUAGAGCCCUGAGAACUACAACAUAAUCACAUUCAAUUCACCUAAUUGGACAGCGAGGAAACUGUCAUUUCUGAAAUGGUUUGUGUCUUUUGGAAUGUCUGUGUGUAUACACAUGCGUAUAAAAUGAAACAUUUUCUCACCCAUCCUGUGUUAAAAUGUAAUAGAAACUCCUGCUAACUGAAGUUGAAGAUAUAGCUGGGUGUUCUUUAGUAACCUCAAAACAUAUACGUGUGCGUGUAAAUAAAAAACUGUCCUUCUAAACACAAGGAUCCUUCCCUCCUACUUACUUUGCAACAUCUUAGUAAGGAUUUGCCAUCAAUUCCCUCUCUUUACAGUGCAUUUGAUGACAUUUUACAGAUCAUCAUACUAAAUAAGUAAGAACCAUCCUCUGAUUUAGAAGAAAAACCUUUAUUUAUUUCAAUUUAUUUUGGGAGUUCAGAAGUAAUGACAAACUUGACAAUCUUCAUGACAAACAUGACAAUCUUCACAUCACUUUAAGCUGUGUGACCAAAAAGCCAUUAGCUUCACAGAAACAGACAAUACAUUUCAUCCUGAAACAACACUUAUGAUCAACAUUUAUGCAAUCUAUAGGUACUUCCUAUAUUUGUAUCAAUGCAAGUAAGAAGACAUGGAGUAUCAAACCAGCAAGGGCUUAGAAAUAUCAAGCCCAAGAGUUUACCCAUUUACUUCAGUGGAAAAUAGUGCUAGUAAAUAUCAAUACAUAUUUUAAUCUUUUAUUUCAGUAAUUUCCAUGUAAAAGCAAACAUAUUCUGCCAACUUUAUUCAUUGUCUUUGAUCUUUUUUUGAAGCAUAUUAUGAUAGAUUUCUGAAUCUUUUAAUUCAAUGUUGAAGUAGAUAUUAAGUAUAUCACAACACCAAUCCACACUAAAUAGAACUUUUGUUUUUUGUUCUUUUGCUGAAAUGUCUGACAGUAUUUCAAGAAUAAUUUAAUUAUGAACUUUAUAUUAACAAAAGACAAGUGAUUUUUUAUUCCAUUCAGUGUGGAAUAAGAUACUACCUAUAUUUGUUAAGCCCUGUGUAUCAACCAGAAUUUGCAAAGGGAAGUUAUCAACUUCAGAUACUCAUUCUCCAUUUCCCAUAAAUAUGUUAAAAAUACAAAGUCAGCUCCUAAGUUUUUCAUCAAAUAAACUAGCUUAUUAAGAUUAAGUGGCCUGAAACCACCAUCUGUGAGUUCACAUUUAUAUCUAGAAAACCUGUAUAAUCAUGUGUAUUGAGAGUAAGGCUUAGUGUUGGAAGGCCCAACCUUGUAAACAAGCUUUGUUUACACAAGAAGACAAUAGGACUCUUCUUUUGUUUCAGAGUUUACAUGUUCAGAGGCUGAGAUCACUAUUUUUGAAAUGUGAUGAUGGGAAUACAAAGUAAUUACCUUUAUGAAGGUUUUACAAAGAAUCCUGUAAGUAAAGCCCAUGACAGAAAUAUAUAGUGUCUCCAAAGAAACAAUUAUGAUGUAUUGUGUUUGAAUAAUAACUCAGAAUGUUUUAUCAUCAUCUGUUUACAUAAUAAGUCAUAAUAACUUUUCAAAAUAUGGUGCUUGCAUUUUUAUUAUUGUUUUAAGUGUACAUAGGGGAAUUACUACAGCCUAGAAUCAUAAACUUUGUAAAACUUUGUUGAAGACUGCAUUUUUAUUCCCAUCCUCUUCUGCUCAAACAAAAAUGUAAAGGAAACAACACACAAAUAAAAGUACGCUAAAAUAAUCCCAUGUGUCUGGCUAAAAGAAAAGACAGGAAAUUCUUAAAAGUGUGGUUAUAAACUGAAAAAUGCCUUUAAACAUGGCUUCCUACUGUCUCACAUUUAUAUAUUCAUAAUUAUUUCACUAUCAAUAUUUUCUUUGCUUAUAUGUACACAAAUUACAUUAUUCAACAUGCCAAGACCACAUUCUCAGUCUGAUAUCUGGAAUACAAAGCCCUGUUGUCACUGGCUUCUACUACAGUGUUAAAGAUGGAACUGAGAGAAAUUCCUAGAUUCCCUCUCCUGGAAACUUUAUGAUUUAAGCCUACUUCUGACCUUUAGCAAUAUUUCCUUGGGGAGACUGAGGUCCAAAUUAAACUUUCAGGAAUUACAAGAGAAAUUUCAAUGAACUCUAGAGAUGCCAGAAAGACAAAUGACAAAAGUAGUUAAAGCAAAAGUGCUGAGCACGUCUUAAGUGCUUCAAUUAGAACUCUUGUUCCCCACAGGAUGUUCCAGAAAGGUGUAGAGGUGCUCACAGACCCUCACAAUGGUUUCAGACAUCUAGCCCACAAAGUAGAAUCCAAAGCCAAGAUUAGAGAGCUGUUACCUACAGAGAACAGAUGAUGUUAUGUGAGAGGACUAACAAAGUAGAAACAUUAUGGAGUUAUCUAGAAUCUAACUCAUAAUUUUGAAAGUCAGAUAAUGCCAACCUAUGUAGUUGAGGCACUCUGUCACAGUGGAAGACUGUGGUUAUUUCCAUCCACUCAGUGUCCACAGACCAUCAAGGUAAUUCAAUUUUUGUUUCAAAGGCUCCGUUUUUUUAAAAAAACAUAACCACUGUUGAAGAUGAGAUGUUAAUAAUGGAACAUAGGAUUAUUCUUAGUUCUACUAUUUACUGAAAAAUAGACAUACAAACUGUGUGGGGCAAAGACAAAGGCCAGAAUCCUGCUUGCUCCAUAAAAAUUGUUUCCUUCCUCAUUUAUCUCCUUGAAUCUUAAUGAGUUUUGCAGUUGUAGUGCACAUCUGUACAGCUAUGUAGACUAGCCUGGGACCCAGUGGGUAAGGUGUGCCUCCUCAGAAAUUAGAGUUUAAAAUACCUGAGGUCAAAGCAGAUGUAAAAAGUUGUCUCCUUCUGAAAGGUUUCCAGUUUUAUUGGCAUAUACUACGUUUGUCUGAGUGCACUUUCCAGGUCUGUGCUAUAAGCUAACACUACCAUUUAUCUUCUGGAUUCCCAGACUGUUUAAGUCAGACAGAGGUACAUGCCCGCUUCACCCUGAGCCCUUCUGCGAAUGGUCAGAAACAGAAUACUGUGUGAUCUCAAAAAGAUUCAGAGCAAACAUGGAAGACAGUUAUGUUUAAAUGACACUCUGGUUGGGCAGGCACUGAACGCAGUAACAGUUUCAACAUAGACACCUUAAACCUUCCAGUAUUCUAUUUUAGGUAAGUUGUUUUAUUGUCUCUAACCUGCUGAUUAUUUGUGAGAUGUAAAAAUGUGCAGAUACGUCUCCCUCAUCUGAUGUUGCUUCUUUGCUGCUAAGAAGGAGGUAAAACAUUACUCUUACUUAAAUUCUGCAAUGAAUGAGCACAACAGUUCAUUUCUAAAAAGGUACAUUUUUUUUUCUUUACAUGGAAUGUUUCUGAAUUCUUACUUAUUUUUCCUUAAAGUCUGUCAGAUGUGUAUCAUUCACUUUAAAGUUAUUUCCCACAUAGUUGCAUUCUUAAGGUAAAAAGAUCAAAAGGAUGGAUGGGUUCAGAGCACAAGCUGUAAACUAGUUAUAAUUCAAGAUGACUGACAAUAUUUAAAUCUUGUUCUGACAAACUAUAUAAAUGACUAAAGAACAUGGAUUCUUCAUGUGACUCUUUUAAACAAAUUUCUGCCUAGAUAUAGGUAGAACCAGGCUUAUCCUACAGCAAGAUAGAGGAUCUGGGCUCAGCACAGCAGAGCAGUACAGCCACAACUGUGUCUCACAAACAGAAGCACGUAAACCGGUCUUUUUUUCUCUGGUAAAUACAUACUUACAAUUACCUGAUAGUUUGCCAGCAGUGCUAUUGGUCAGCAAAGAUACCACUUAUAGCCACACCAGUGGACUCUACAUAGAGAGUUGGAACAUACAUAUUUCGUAUAUGAUGGCAGAUUUUUUUAUACAGAACUUCCUUUCACUUAAUUAUUAACUGCUAUAUAACCUGUCAAAGUGUGUAACAGACUGAGUGAACCACUUUCUGGGGCCAGCAUUUACUAGGAUAUUUGCAGAGCAUCAAAAUCAUACGUGGAAAGGAACUAGUUUGUCAUCUUAGGUCAACCAGCUGAUCACUUCAUCUUCCAGGAUCUUUCAAAAUGGUGCAUUUUAUUUUCUUGUGGGAAAAGAAAACUUUAACAAGAAAUUGAAUCCAUUACCCGUUUAGUGCUGUCAUACUGUUCUAUUGAGUUUUAUAGGCUGGUUCAAAAGUUUACAUAACUCUUAUUUGGUAUUAAAAUUUAUAGUGUUUUUUGAAUAAUUUCUGAAAUCCUUUUGGCUUCAUGCUUCUUCCAGUGUAUAAAUUUUUCCCUUUCCAGUGUCGUCCUCUUUCAGCAUAUAGAUCUUUCCUGGCAACAUUGAAGCAAAACAGUAUCAGACUUUAAAGUCAGAAUCUUUCCCCAUUUAAGUGCAUCCAAAUAAUCAUUUCCUCUCCAUUCUUGGUGUUUACAUGCAUCAAAUACUUGAAGAUAGUUAUGCUUCUUAUGAGCCACUUAGUUAAUCUCCAAUGUACAUACACAUAUUUUACUCCUUUAAUCUUUCUUCAUAAAUAAGUUUCUCUGUCCCCCUUAAUCAUACUUGCUAGUCCUCUCUAUAUUCUCUCCAAAACCUUUUAUUUCUGCUUUCAUUUUGGCUGUCGGAACCAUUGCUUUAAAAUUUCUUCAUUCUAAGUUUACUUAAGUGCCAAAAAAAAAAAAAAUUGCUAGAAAUAAAAAUAGUAAUAAGUUUCAGCAUAAAGCAAACAUAUUCCAGUUAAGGUAAUGUAUAUUAUAAGCACUCCUUUCCUUUUGCAAUUAAUAUUGGAUUUUCAUAGUGUAACAAAACAUCUUUAUUGCACUAGAAUACAGGAUGGGAUAUACUUUAUCUGUCUUUCAGAUUCUACUGUCCUUUCUAAACAUUUCUCACUGCCUGAAGCUUAAUUGAUCUGUUUUAGAUUACUAAAUCAGGGUGGAAUGAUGAAUCACAGCGUUGACUUUGCCAGAUAUGAAGAGAGUUUAAGACAUUCAGAACCUGAGCUCAUGUGAACCGACAUUAUCAGAAGUUUAUAAAUACAGACUUCUGCAUCUGGACAGAUGAUUUGUGAUAUCUUCCAUACUGCAUGAAAGCACAGGAUAACCAAAGCAGGCUUGUUAUUCCAUAGCAUACAAUAGUUCUUCAAAACCAGGAUUGUUAAGGUGGUGUAUUUAUCUGGAGACCUCCAGGAUUUUCAGACUAAGAUGCAGCUUUGUGUCUAACUGCAGCCUAGACAAUACAUAGAUGGGAAAAUUCUCAGUAAUUAAAUAUCAAGACCCCCAAGGCAUUACAUCAUUCUAUCAAGGAACUGAGUAUUCAAGAAGUUAGCAUCAGAGUCAACAUUUACACAAGACACAUGCACAUUAUGUAAUUAGAAGAUUAAGGUAAAAGUAAGACACUGCCUUUGGGAAAAUCUGUUUCUUAAUUGGCAGAAAGAUGAUUAAACUUGCCACAUCAGAUACUUUUGUUAAAUUGAAGAUCUUAAGAAAACAAACUCUUAUUUAUAAUUCUCAUCCCCUUAACUCCUGAAGAAGAGCUGGAAAACCACUGAAUUUCUUGUCAAAAGAAUCAUGAUUAAAAACCAACCAAAAAAAAAAAAAAAAAAAAACCCACCUUGCUGUGUUUAUUCAGUCCCUCCAAUAAUCUUAAGGCAGGUUUUCCUUGAGAUAUCAUAUUGUUCCUCAGGGAAACGUUUACUUCCUAGAAGCUUCUUCAAACAUAUUUUUUUCCUAACCAAGAAACACAAGAAUUAUAAUUGGAAGUGAUCUGCAAACCAUUUACAGAUGUGUGGCAAUGAGCUAAUCUCCUUUACCCACAGUUAGUAGAGCUUCUUCAUACCAGCAUUAGUGGUUCAGAAGAUCUGCUUCUCCACAAAGCUGUGCUCUUAGAAACACAGGGAGACUGGAGAAGUUGUUGAACCACCACAAGACUUGAGAAGCUAUGGAAUCACCUCUGUUGAGCUGGGAAUCAACACAAUGCUUUCUCAGAACAGCUUUUGAAACACCACUGUAAGCUACUGAAAGAUGCGUGAAUGUUUCCUGUGAACAGCAGGGAGUAUGCCCAGCAAAGGAUGGUGGGACUUACUUUGCUGGUAAAAUAUUUUCAUACAUGAAAGACAAAGCUUUUCCUCCUCAGCCAUGUAAGACUAUGACUUCCAGAAGUGAUAAAAUGAUCGGUAGUGCAACAUAGCUCACUGUGUACCUGGCAUUUGGUUAUCUGUAUUGUACUUUCUAUAUUAUUUCAGUGAACUGAAAAAUUAGUCCAUUAUUCUGAUGGCAGAGACAACCAGCUGUCUUCUUGAUAAGAUGUUGCCUGUUUUUCUCUCUUUUCCUUUUUAACCUGUUAAGCUGUUUAUGUAAUAAGUGAUAGCAAGUCAGACGGUUCAACUAAAGUAAAACACUGCUAAUGGAAUAUAGUGUGUUCAUUGUUUUAAAAAGUCUUCCAUAGAUAAUAAGUGUUUGUAAAAAAGAAACAUUUUGAAGUAUUAGUUUAUGCUUGCUUUCCAUUUCUAUUUUAAGCCUACAUAGAAUAAAAAAAAAGAUGGAGAGACAAGAAAGUAAAAAUGAUAGCACUCAGAUAGUCACAACACACUGAAAGAUUUUGUUUGACAAAAGCAUUGCAGUUCCUAUAAAAACAAAGCUUAGCAGAUUAAAAAUAAUAAUAAUAAUAAUUAGCCUGCUAAAAAAAUUCUCUUUUAUCAUUUUCCAUCAGAAAAUCAAAAAUAACUACAAUUGUUUUAUUUAAUCUGUUCCUGUAAAAUAGAUUUGCAGUAUUCUUUCUCCCGUAUUUUCAGAACUGAACAAUUUUUUACCAUAUGUGCUGUUUUAGUGCAAGUCUCCACUUUCAAAUAUUUUUAUUUUAUGAUGUCUCUUCUGCUUUCUUUCAUUUGCAGGUUUGUUCUUCAUUCUUGCAUCACAGCAGGAGUUGUACCCUUUAUCAGUGUUGAUGUCUUCUUAAAAGAGGGUCUGUGACCGCAUUUGAAGUAUCUCUACUACCAGUUGUGGUGAUUUCACCCUGAUGUGCAGCUAAACUACUACAUCAUUCUCCUGUUACUCCUACUCAAAGGAAGAGGGGGAGAAAAUGAAAUGAAAAAAGGCUCAGGGUUUGAGAUUACCGUCACUGAUCAGUGAUUAUGAGAAUAAAUAAACAUAGUGUGGAAAAAUCUUUGUAUAGUCAUUAAAAUACCCAAGUGUGGCAUUCUAGUAGAGAUUUAAUAAGGAGAAGAAACUGACCCUCAGACUUAGGAAUUCAUUUUCUUUACUUUUCUACAAGGACAGACAUACAUCUCUCUAUCUAAUUUAUAUAUACAUACGUAUAUAUAAAGCAAAGCUUUUAAAGAAUUUUUAUUUAUCAUUGUAAAAUCUCUACUUAGAAUUGGAAAGAGAUAGAAAAAAAAAAAGUAGACUUUGAUUAUCACCUUGAUACAUCUAAGUGUUUACAGUGGGAGCUAAGCUGUAGCAUAGCAAUGUAAUAAAAAUAGAAAGUAAAGUGACGUAAAAAGUGCACUGAGGACUACCUUAUAACUAAUUCCAAACGUUCAAGAAUAGUAAAUGGUUAACAGUGAUGCAAAAGGAAAUUACAGAAAAAACAAUCAAAAAGGACUCCUAAACAAUGAAAGGAAACAAAAAAUUAAUAAAGCAGAAGACUGAAAAACAGAUAAGGAGAGCAAAACGGUGAAAGAUUUCACAGAAGAUUAUGAAAUUAGCACAAAAAAUUUUUAAACAAUCCUAAGAAUAAACUGUCAUUGAAGAACAGAAUAGGGAUUGUGGAGGAUCAUUUUUUAAGGGAUGAGGUAAAAAAAGAUGGAAAAUUUAAACAAAUUCUUCGCAUAGCUGUUCAGAAAGAAAUGUCAGCUCGCAGAGCUGUAGAAAUAUAGGUACAUAUUUUCUGGAGCAAAAGGAAGGAUAAAACACCUAAGUAAACACACACUGUAUGUGACAUAGUACAGAUGACAAUCUUAGCAUGUAUCACAUAAAAUAAUUUCUCAGUGCUAAAGCAUAUGCACUUCAGAAUUCACAGAAAGGGACAAAAAACAGCAUCACUCUUCACAAGACUAAUUUACAUCACUUCACCAUUCAGAUAACUUUUCCUUUUCAAAAUGUUGCUUUGAAGUCACAUGGGCUACUUACAUGACUGACAACUCUAGGACUGCAGUGAAAAAGAAGUUUCAGUGGAAUUAAAGAAAAAGUAACGGGAAGUGUGCAGGAGGUAUCUGUGCAAAGAAGGGCCCCAUGCAACUCCUCUCACAGCUUGCCUCUAAAAACUCAAGAACUGGGUUUAAAUGAGAGAAACACCUUGUCUUUCUGGCAAGUUUUAGCAAUGCCUUCUAUGCAGGAAAGCAAUUUGCUUCAAGACCAAACAGAAAUGCACACUGGUUAAGAGUGAUAUAUUACAAAAACAACAGAGUAUAGCUAAAUUCAGCAAAUUAUGAAGCAAUGGCUAUUUCAGUGAGAGUCAGAGAUUCGUCUAAUGAGAUCCAGGAGUUUCAGCUCUGAACAAAAAGUGAUGAAUUCAAGCUUAAAUUCCUACAAGUAACCCCUAUUCUACAUUAAAGGUAACCAUCCAUCACAUUUUUAACUACAUCUACAAGGGAGUUCAGUAACUUCAGUCUAAAAAAUUCAAAACACAGACAUAUUUUCAGCCAAAACAAAGCCAGAGCCAGCAGUAAUUUUAAUUCUUUUCACUAAGUAUUGUUCUGGCCAUAAGACUAUGUGUAAAAUGGAUGUGGUUGAAGCCACAAUGGACUGUAAGGUUUAUAGGAUGAACAAGUUGCUAAGGAAGAGCUUGCAUGCCUAAAAACUUACAUUAUUCCAGCUGGAGUGCAUCCUGUAACAACAGUACUUCUUUAUUCUUCCAUAUCUUCCCUAAAAAGCUGAGCGCUCUGGCUGAAGACAGGCCAGGAGAGGCGCAUGGAUGUUUGCCUUCUUCAUGUUGCCUGAAAACCUAGUCCUUGUCUCAUCUGGGAACAGGACAGUCAUGCCAAGUGGAUGCAUCUCCCUGCAUCUGUGGAGAGACAGCAAAUGUGCUGUCUGGAAAGUAUCUGUGUUCUAGGAGGUGAGAAACUGGCUUGGGCUGUUUGAUUUCACUUCUACUCAGAGAAAUGGGGCAAUGAACUUUCUAAUAAACAGGUUUGGUUCACAGAGGGAUGACUCCACCAUCGAUCAUUCCACCAGAGGAAUAACUCAAGAUUCGAAAAUUUUAACCAGAUAAUUUUAUCAAAAGAAUAAUAAAAAAAAAAAAAAAAAAAAAAAAAAAAAAAGGACCAAGUAAUGACUUAAAACAAUUGCUGUGAUAUUACAUCUACAUAGGAUCUACUGGCCUAUAUGUCAGUUUUAAUCUGCCACUGGUUAAAUCCUACAUACUGAGCAAAAUAACUUACCAACACAAUACAUGCAAAGUAAAUAAAUACUCAAGCAACACUCUAUGUCCCACAUCCACUCAGAUACCAGAAGUGUGUAUUUCCAGUCUGUGAAAUACAAUGAUAAGUAAAAACAGUGAUUCUCCAUGAGUGCAUUACUCAGAAGAAGCAAUGUUAAGGCAGUCAGUGUGAUCUUUAAAAAUCACUCCCAGUAAAUAAAUAAAUAAGCACCUCUACCUGCACAGCUAUCUGAAGACAAGUUAACAAAUUCUGUUUUCCACUUAUUAGCAAAUCAGUUGUUCUGUAAAGAAUACAUGAUCAAAACCUACAGCAACAGCUGGCACAUGUAUAAAGCGGGGCAAAAAAAUUAAGAUGAAGUAUUUCUGACAAAAAAAUAUAUGAAACAAAACAAAGUUGAAAACUGAAGCAGAUAUCAGAUAACCAUUUUGUCAUUUAUAAAAUACUUUUUCAGGACAAAAGGGGUUGCCAUACCUUUUCACUCAGCAUAUCCUCAGAGUCACAUAUUAAGCUGAUCAAAUCCGAGGGUACUGCAGUAAGCUGAAGCUUGAAGCUGCCUCCACUUCCUUCAUUUCGUUUACAGUUUUGUUUGGGGGUUGUUCUUUUUUUUCUUUUUAGCUUGCAGAAACCUGAGGGAAAAAAUAUUUUGGGGGUUACUAUCGAAAUAGUUUAUUCAGUAGUCAAUUAACUGAAAAAAACAAAUAGUUCUAAACUGAUCUCUUAUAUACCAUGCCCCUUUUUAUAUCAUAGUUAUUGGUUCCAUUCUGUUGUUAUAUUUUACUGAAAACAUUAUGAAUAUAAAUGAGAAUAGUGCACAAAGAGCAGAGGUGAAGAUAUGUCCCAUUAGAAAUCUGCUUUUUUACUUACAUUUACUGAGGUUAUCAAGUACCUCUUUAUGAACUCUUCAUCCCUUUCUAAAAGGUAAAGUUGAAAUUGGGAAAUAUAUUGCAUCAGUUAUUGGGCAUUCUGGGGUUUUCCAUUAUUUUAAAAACCUCCUAUGUGCCUAAUUAUAGCUAAUAAGUACUGUUUAGAAACAUAGCAGAGAACUCAUGAUUUCCUUCUUCACCCAAUGCCCAGAAAAUCCAUGUCCGAGAACAAAAUCUUGAAGGUAUUUGUGAUCAUGACCCAUUCUCAUUAUCUGUAUCCAUUCUAAGAUUUUUAUAUUAUAUGAAUGAAUAUUUUAAAGUGAAAUUAUAGUAUUCAAUGGCAAAUUACAACUACAUGUGACCAAGAGAGGAUUAAACCCAUCAUUUUGCUUAAGAGCUCUGAUGGCUGGAGUAAUUGGAUGAUAGCUGUAGGGCAUCUUUUUGGUCUGUAAUUAGGUCAUUUCUUUCUCAUCCCUUCACUGUGUGUAUAAUUACGAAUUAAUUUGAAAUCCCACUGUGAGUAAAGAAAGUCAGUUUAAUAUAACGGAAGUGCAAAAGCCACAAUAUAUUACUUUUUAAAAACUGCUUAUUUCAAAAUACUCAGUCUGGCCAAAAGUUAUAUCCCUAUGUACUGCAAGGCUUAUAUUUGGUUUCUUUGCUAACUUUGUACAAGUGCUGCUCUGAAAGUAAUGCCUCCUGUUUUAUUAUGUUGGUGUGCAAUGUCAGAGGUGGAUUUUGGUGGUACAUCAGGAGAGGUUGAACCUUCACACCAGUAUUCCACUACAUUUUGUUGCUGUGUGACAGAUGGCAGCAGAGGGUCAGUCUGACAAAAUGGCUUCUGACACGGAAGCAUCUGAGAAGAAAAGAUGUGGAACUGAAUUCCUCCAUGUGGUAAAAAAAUUGCAUCCAUUGACUUUCACUGAUGCUUGCUGAACAUUUAUGGAGAUCAAACAGUGGAUGUGAGCUCAGUGAGGUUGUGGGUAAUGUGUUUCAACAGCAGUGAUAGUGGCAGUGGUUCACCUCCACCGGUGCAAAUUUUUACAAGAACAGCAAGCAGGUUCUCGUUCAUCGUUGGCAAAAAUGCAUAGCUAAUGACAGUGAAUAUGCAGCAAAAUAAAGUUUGUAUUUGAGAAUUUUCUCUAUGAAAUAGUGUUAUUGUGCUCUUUGUAUUUGUUGCAGUUUCUAUGGAAAUAAACAGCAAGUAUUACUUUUGAAUCAAUCUACGUUCCUGGAUGUAUUUUCUCUCUUAAAAUAAAUGAAUUUUCAAAGCACCACACUUUGCUCCAGUAUCUGUCAGUAGGUGUCAACAGCACAAAAAGGUAGUGGAAAGAAAUAAAAAGUAACCAUGAGAGUCUUGACAGACAGUAUUAGCAUCAGAGAACUUAGAGGCCACUCUCAACACAGUCAACCAUUUUAUCCUUUAGUCCUGCCAUUAUUUCCUUCCACUGAAACUACCUUUCUGCUUUUACCCUGAAAGUGUUAAACACUG
ensembl:lncRNA